rnacentral:snRNA from 1 species
GUGCUUACUUGGGCAGCCCUGAAGUUGGAAUGAUACAGAAAGAUUAGUAUAGACCCUGCACAAGGAUGACACACAAAUUUUCAAGUUGUUGCAUAUUUUU